AUUGAACGCUGGCGGCAUGCCUUACACAUGCAAGUCGAACGGUAACGCGGGGCAACCUGGCGACGAGUGGCGAACGGGUGAGUAAUGUAUCGGAACGUGCCCAGUUGUGGGGGAUAACUGCUCGAAAGAGCAGCUAAUACCGCAUACGACCUGAGGGUGAAAGCGGGGGAUCGCAAGACCUCGCGCAAUUGGAGCGGCCGAUAUCAGAUUAGGUAGUUGGUGGGGUAAAGGCUCACCAAGCCGACGAUCUGGAGCUGGUCUGAGAGGACGACCAGCCACACUGGGACUGAGACACGGCCCAGACUCCUACGGGAGGCAGCAGUGGGGAAUUUUGGACAAUGGACGCAAGUCUGAUCCAGCCAUGCCGCGUGCGGGAAGAAGGCCUUCGGGUUGUAAACCGCUUUUGUCAGGGAAGAAAAGGCUCCUUCUAAUAUAGGGGGCUCAUGACGGUACCUGAAGAAUAAGCACCGGCUAACUACGUGCCAGCCGCCGCAGUAAAAC
rnacentral:rRNA from 1 species